GUAACACAGGGGAAGCUUGCUCCCGGGUGACGAGCGGCGGACGGGUGAGUAAUGUCUGGGAAACUGCCUGAUGGAGGGGGAUAACUACUGGAAACGGUAGCUAAUUACCGCAUAACGUCGCAAGACCAAAGAGGGGGACCUUCGGGCCUCUUGCCAUCAGAUGUGCCCAGAUGGGAUUAGCUAGUAGGGUGGGGUAACGGCUCACCUAGGCGACGAUCCCUAGCUGGUCUGAGAGGAUGACCAGCCACACUGGAACUGAGACACGGUCCAGACUCCUACGGGAGGCAGCAGGUGGGGAAAUAUUGCACAAUGGGCGCAAGCCUGAUGCAGCCAUGCCGCGUGUAUGAAGAAGGCCUUCGGGUUGUAAAGUACUUUCAGCGGGGAGGAAGGCGUUGAGGUUAAUAACCUCAGCGAUUGACGUUACCCGCAGAAGAAGCACCGGCUAACUCCGUGCCAGCAGCCGCGGUAAUACGGAGGGUGCAAGCGUUAAUCGGAAUUACUGGGUGUAAAGCGCACGCAGGCGGUCUGUCAAGUCGGAUGUGAAAUCCCCGGGCUCAACCUGGGAACUGCAUUCGAAACUGGCAGGCUA
rnacentral:rRNA from 1 species